rnacentral:rRNA from 1 species
AACGAACGCUGGCGGCAUGCCUAACACAUGCAAGUCGAACGCCCGUAGCAAUACGGGAGUGGCAGACGGGUGCGUAACGCGUGGGAACCUGCCCAGAGGUUCGGAAUAACUGCGGGAAACUGCAGCUAAUACCGAAUGUUGCCUGAGGGCUAAAGGAGUAAUUCGCCUUUGGAGGGGCCCGCGUCCGAUUAGCUAGUUGGUGGGGUAACGGCCUACCAAGGCGACGAUCGGUAGCUGGUCUGAGAGGAUGACCAGCCACACUGGAACUGAGACACGGUCCAGACUCCUACGGGAGGCAGCAGUAGGGAAUAUUGGACAAUGGGGGCAACCCUGAUCCAGCCAUGCCGCGUGAGUGAAGAAGGCCCUCGGGUUGUAAAGCUCUUUUGUCCGGAAAGAAAGCAAUCGGUUAAUACCCGGUUGUUCUGACGGUACCGGAAGAAUAAGCACCGGCUAACUUCGUG